AUGGUAACGGUGAACCGCAGGAGUGUCAUUACUAGAGCGCCUUGAUUUUGAACAACAACGCAGCCGUCUCAUCUUUUAGAGCUGUCCCAGAGAUGCAGAGCAGAUGUACGAUACUGUGCUGACACCCCACUAGCCUAGCAACUGCUAGAAGGGCUCUGACCAGAUAAAAAGGUCAUUAGGGGCAUGCUGAUCUGCAAAGCAUUUAAAGACGCUGUAACAAAAAUCAGCAAAGGAACAGCUUCCCAAGUAGAAGCAACAAUAAAGUCAUGGUUAAGAAAGUCAAGAGACAGAGAUGGUGGGCGCCAAGGAAGGGCCAAAACUCAGAAGGGACUUACUUUUAAUUAAUUUUUUGGAGUUAAAAAAUUGCGUUUUCUUUUGUGUGUUUAUUCACGUUUGAUUUUGUAUAAAAUAUAAUUCUGUUUCAAUAUCAUACAGUUGUUCAUUUUUUGUUAUUAAACUCUGUAAAUAAAUAUUUACUAACAUGA
ensembl:lincRNA